CAGGCUUAACACAUGCAAGUCGAGGGGCAGCAUGGUCUUAGCUUGCUAAGGCCGAUGGCGACCGGCGCACGGGUGAGUAACACGUAUCCAACCUGCCGUCUACUCUUGGACAGCCUUCUGAAAGGAAGAUUAAUACAAGAUGGCAUCAUGAGUCCGCAUGUUCACAUGAUUAAAGGUAUUCCGGUAGACGAUGGGGAUGCGUUCCAUUAGAUAGUAGGCGGGGUAACGGCCCACCUAGUCUUCGAUGGAUAGGGGUUCUGAGAGGAAGGUCCCCCACAUUGGAACUGAGACACGGUCCAAACUCCUACGGGAGGCAGCAGUGAGGAAUAUUGGUCAAUGGGCGAGAGCCUGAACCAGCCAAGUAGCGUGAAGGAUGACUGCCCUAUGGGUUGUAAACUUCUUUUAUAAAGGAAUAAAGUCGGGUAUGGAUACCCGUUUGCAUGUACUUUAUGAAUAAGGAUCGGCUAACUCCGUGCCAGCAGCCGCGGUAAUACGGAGGAUCCGAGCGUUAUCCGGAUUUAUUGGGUUUAAAGGGAGCGUAGAUGGAUGUUUAAGUCAGUUGUGAAAGUUUGCGGCUCAACCGUAAAAUUGCAGUUGAUACUGGAUAUCUUGAGUGCAGUUGAGGCAGGCGGAAUUCGUGGUGUAGCGGUGAAAUGCUUAGAUAUCACGAAGAACUCCGAUUGCGAAGGCAGCCUGCUAAGCUGCAACUGACAUUGAGGCUCGAAAGUGUGGGUAUCAAACAGGAUUAGAUACCCUGGUAGUCCACACGGUAAACGAUGAAUACUCGCUGUUUGCGAUAUACUGCAAGCGGCCAAGCGAAAGCGUUAAGUAUUCCACCUGGGGAGUACGCCGGCAACGGUGAAACUCAAAGGAAUUGACGGGGGCCCGCACAAGCGGAGGAAUAUGUGGUUUAAUUCGAUGAUACGCGAGGAACCUUACCCGGGCUUAAAUUGCAGAUGAAUUACGGUGAAAGCCGUAAGCCGCAAGGCAUCUGUGAAGGUGCUGCAUGGUUGUCGUCAGCUCGUGCCGUGAGGUGUCGGCUUAAGUGCCAUAACGAGCGCAACCCUUGUUGUCAGUUACUAACAGGUUCCGCUGAGGACUCUGACAAGACUGCCAUCGUAAGAUGUGAGGAAGGUGGGGAUGACGUCAAAUCAGCACGGCCCUUACGUCCGGGGCUACACACGUGUUACAAUGGGGGGUACAGAGGGCCGCUACCACGCGAGUGGAUGCCAAUCCCAAAAACCUCUCUCAGUUCGGACUGGAGUCUGCAACCCGACUCCACGAAGCUGGAUUCGCUAGUAAUCGCGCAUCAGCCACGGCGCGGUGAAUACGUUCCCGGGCCUUGUACACACCGCCCGUCAAGCCAUGGGAGCCGGGGGUACCUGAAGUGCGUAACCGCGAGGAGCGCCCUAGGGUAAAACUGGUGACUGGGGCUAAGU
rnacentral:rRNA from 1 species